rnacentral:rRNA from 1 species
GGUGGGGUUGAGAGUGGCGGACGGGUGAGGAGCACAUGGCUGACCUGCCCUCCAGGGGGGGAUAACGGCUGGAAACGGCUGCUAAUACCCCAUACGCUCCUCUGGGUUAGAGGCCGGGGGAGGAAAGGCGUUAGUGCUGAGGGAGGGGGCUGUGGCCCAUCAGCUAGUUGGUAGGGUAACGGCCUACCAAGGCGAGGACGGGUAGGGGACCUGAGAGGGUGACCCCCCACACGGGCACUGAGAGACGGGCCCGACUCCUACGGGAGGCAGCAGUAAGGGAUAUUGCGCCAAUGGGCGAAAGCCUGACGCAGCAACGCCGCGUGCGGGAGGACGGCCUUCGGGUUGUAAACCGCUUUUCUAGGGGAAGAGGGAGGACGGUACCCUGGGAAGAAGUCUCGGCUAACUACGUGCCAGCAGCCGCGGUAAGACGUAGGAGGCGAGCGUUAUCCGGAUUUACUGGGUGUAAAGCGCGUGCAGGCGGUUUAGCAAGUCGUGCGUGAAAGCGCUCUGGCUCAACCGGGCGAGGACGUGCGGAACUGCUGAACUGGAGGCAGGUAGAGGCGUGUGGAAUUCCGGGUGUAGUGGUGAAAUGCGUAGAGAUCCGGAGGAACACCAGUGGCGAAGGCGACGCGCUGGGCCUGGCCUGACGCUAAGACGCGAAAGCUAGGGGAGCGAACAGGAUUAGAUACCCUGGUAGUCCUAGCCGUAAACG